CCUACGGGAGGCAGCAGUGAGGAAUAUUGGUCAAUGGGCGCGAGCCUGAACCAGCCAAGUCGCGUGAGGGAAGACGGUCCUAUGGAUUGUAAACCUCUUUUGUCGGGGAGCAAAAGACGCCACGCGUGGCGUUCCGAGAGUACCCGAAGAAAAAGCAUCGGCUAACUCCGUGCCAGCAGCCGCGGUGAUACGGAGGAUUCGAGCGUUAUCCGGAUUUAUUGGGUUUAAAGGGUGCGCAGGCGGAAGAUCAAGUCAGCGGUAAAAUUGAGAGGCUCAACCUCUUCGAGCCGUUGAAACUGGUUGUCUUGAGUGAGUGAGAGGUAUGCGGAAUGCGUGGUGUAGCGGUGAAAUGCAUAGAUAUCACGCAGAACUCCGAUUGCGAAGGCAGCAUACCGGCGCUCAACUGACGCUCAUGCACGAAAGUGUGGGUAUCGAACAGGAUUAGAUACCCGAGUAGUC
rnacentral:rRNA from 1 species